GCGACAUUUUUGUAGGAGCACCUGGCAGGGUUCAUGACUCCAGGAUCCUCAGGAAAUCCACCUUCUUUGAGAGGUCUGGUGAAAAAAUGGAGGGGUACAUGCUACUAGGUGACAGCGCCUACAUCAGUCGGGAAUACCCUUUUAUCGCCACGCCAAAGCGGGAC